rnacentral:lncRNA from 1 species
AAAAGCCUUAAGGACCUUGUCUUUUGUCUCCCAUUCUUCUCUCUACCAUUCUUCUCCCAUUUCUUCUCUCUACCCUGCCUGACUAUUGAAGUAGAGACAAUCAGGUACUCUUCCUUCCAUGCCAACAUCUGGCAUCCAAAGUGACAUCAGACAAAGAGAAUAGAAAAGGAAAAGCAAUUUCUCCAGGUCCUCCCCACACUGGGAGGUACAGAUAUCCUUAGUAUGCCUCUUGCUAGCUUUCUUGGGUGACCUCCUCCUCUUCCUGACCCAGCUCUUGCUGAUCUUCAGAGCUCAUCUCACUGGUUCAUUCAGUGCUCUCCUCCUAGCCUUUCAGCACUAUCACUAUCCCCUCUUUUGCCAGUGUAACUGGAACCAAAGGAGAAACUGUGGUUCUGAUGCAAGAACUACUUCAAAUCACUUACUCAGUAACAAGAGGCCACAUCAAUCUCCUUCCCAGGGGAGCCCUACAAAGGAAAGAGGUCAUUUAUAGCCAGCAUUCCCAACGACUUCUGCACUCAGAAAGAGCAGAACUCCAGGGCAAGUCAGAAGCCAGGAUUGAGAAAUGGCCUGGUGUUAGGACAAAGGCUACUUUCUUAGGCAGCUCUUUCUUAGCUCUCUCAACAGUCAGAGCUCAGGCUACUCUUGCUUAAGCAGUGCUAGAUAACAAAGUGCUGGGAUUAGAUGAUACUACCAAAGGAAAGUGAAGAAGAAGAAAAACAUACCAAGAAGUUCUGGAAUUGGCAGAGGUGAGGUGGGGGUGGAAACUGGCAGGCUAAUGUGGCAAAACUGUCCGUGGCACUCAAGAUGGCAGUAAGUCCCAAUCUCCAACAGUACAGGUAUGGAUGUCAUUUAUGGGGAGAAAAGACAAAACAAGACCAAAUAUCCAGGAGGAAAACAAUGAGUUUGCAUGUAAAGAUUCUGGGUAGU